GUUAAGAUGGCAGAGACCGGUAAUUGCGUAAGACUUAAACCUUUAUAGCCAGAGGUUCAAUUCCUCUUCUUAACA
rnacentral:tRNA from 4 species